rnacentral:rRNA from 1 species
AUUGAACGCUGGCGGCAGGCCUAACACAUGCAAGUCGAGCGGAUGAAGGGAGCUUGCUCCUGGAUUCAGCGGCGGACGGGUGAGUAAUGCCUAGGAAUCUGCCUGGUAGUGGGGGAUAACGUCCGGAAACGGGCGCUAAUACCGCAUACGUCCUGAGGGAGAAAGUGGGGGAUCUUCGGACCUCACGCUAUCAGAUGAGCCUAGGUCGGAUUAGCUAGUUGGUGGGGUAAAGGCCUACCAAGGCGACGAUCCGUAACUGGUCUGAGAGGAUGAUCAGUCACACUGGAAAUGAGACACGGUCCAGACUCCUACGGGAGGCAGCAGUGGGGAAUAUUGGACAAAGGGCGAAAGCCUGAUCCAGCCAUGCCGCGUGUGUGAAGAAGGUCUUCGGAUUGUAAAGCACUUUAAGUUGGGAGGAAGGGCAGUAAGUUAAUACCUUGCUGUUUUGACGUUACCAACAGAAUAAGCACCGGCUAACUUCGUG